rnacentral:rRNA from 1 species
AACGAACGCUGGCGGCAGGCUUAACACGUGCAAGUCGAGCGCCCCGCAAGGGGAGCGGCAGACGGGUGAGUAACGCGUGGGAAUCUACCCGUCUCUACGGAAUAACGCAUGGAAACGUGUGCUAAUACCGUAUACGUCCUUCGGGAGAAAGAUUUAUCGGAGAUGGAUGAGCCCGCGUUGGAUUAGCUAGUUGGUGGGGUAAAGGCCUACCAAGGCGACGAUUCAUAGCUGGUAUGAGAGGAUGAUCAGCCACACUGGGACUGAGACACGGCCAGACUCCUACGGGAGGCAGCAGUGGGGAAUAUUGGACAAUUGGCGCAAGCCUGAUCCAGCCAUGCCGCGUGAGUGAUGAAGACCCUAGGGUUGUAAAGCUCUUUCACCGGUGAAGAUAAUGACGGUAACCGGAGAAGAAGCCCCGGCUAACUUCGUGCCAGCCGCCGCGGUAAGAC